rnacentral:rRNA from 1 species
UACGAAGGGGGCUAGCGUUGUUCGGAUUUACUGGGCGUAAAGCGCACGUAGGCGGAUCGUUAAGUCGGGGGUGAAAUCCUGGAGCUCAACUCCAGAACUGCCUUCGAUACUGGCGAUCUUGAGUCCGGAAGAGGUGAGUGGAACUCCUAGUGUAGAGGUGGAAUUCGUAGAUAUUGGGAAGAACACCGGUGGCGAAGGCGGCGAGCUGGUCCAUCACUGACGCUGAGGCGCGACAGCGUGGGGGAGCAAACAGG